UUCUUCACAGAAAAUAGCAGAAGUCCUACCCCUGCACUGAAUGUCAUGGCUUCCUUUACUUUUACAUUGAAAUGUCUUUUAAAGAUUGGAUCUGAUAAAGAACAAGGUGCCAGAUUAGUUAUGCAGACUAGUACAACCAGCCCAGUGACUAUUUGCUGCUUCUCUGAGGUAAUAGCAAAACAAAUAUCUACAGGAAAAGUACACAAGGACCUGUCAAAAUGAGCAGAUUGGGUUUAUCAUGAGUGACUAGCUGGACAAAAGUUUCCACUAAAGAAGAAUAAGAAAAGAAAAAAAUGGUUAAGAUCAACGAUGUGUAUAAUAAACCUCUCUGUAUUUCCACAGGAUUCAAAUGCAAACAUUUACUUCAGUUUGACACACACACCUGCAUGGUUCAUACAGAAAGGUGUUCAACGGAGAAAGGAACACAAACAUUCCCUUUCCUUAAAGAUGACUAUGGAAUUCUGUUUUUCAGAUUCUUAAUCCUGAUUUAAGUAUUGAAUCACAGUGAACUAUUUCUGGAGUGAUGCCCAUCAGAUUGGUCUGUUUCCAAAGAUUGUGCUUCCUUGGUGAAUCACUCAUCCCACAUCCACAUUGUCAAUUUUUUCUCCAAGAACAUCUGUAUGCAGUGGUUAAGGGGUGGCAACAUUCAACCAGCAAUUUGGACCUCAGGAUUUAUAAAAAUGGAUGAAGGGGCUUUCGGGAACAUAGUCAAAUGGGAUCCAAGCAGAAGCAACAACAGUUCAACUAAAGAGGUACAAUGGGAAGCUAUCUCAACUGCAACUGCCUUCUGUGUGCUUUUUUGGCUGCUACCUAAAAUUGAAAGCUGAUUCUUUUCCAAGCACAAGUCUCAAAGCUUUGUUCAGUAAGAUUUAUUGAGAUGAAUGGAAUGGGGAUACAAAUUCCAGGAUUGAAUUAUUAUUAAUUUUAGAAUUAAUAUAUCCCCACGUAUGUUAUAUGCAUAUGACACAAUUCUUUCUAAGUGCCUUCCUAUAACAGGUCUCCUGGAGAGAGUUGCUGCUAGCUGUUAACAAAGAAGUCUUCUGAGUUUCUGAAUUUCUGAACACUUAAAGGUAACCCAUUCAUCCUACGGUACUUGUUUUUAAUGUAUGGGCGCAAUGAUAUGAGGCUGAAAGGGAUAUUUAUGAAAUUUGGUGCUGGAACAGGAUUUGGAAGUUGGAAUCGAUGGGUGGAUAUUUCAGGUGAUCUCAGGUGAGUUACAAAUUAACUGAAUGAUGUGGAUGCUACAAUAUAAAUUAGAAUGCACUGAUCUAUGUUCUCUUUUUUAGUGGCACAAAUCUUCUUUCUCAAAGAGGCGUAUGAAAAAUGAGGAAGCUCUCCUUCCUAGGGGGGGGGGUGUCAAACUUUUUGAACCUGAAACAGACAUUUUGAAUGUUCUGUUCCUAAAAUUUGGAGUUUAGUUCUGAGUUCAGUUCUGUUUUUCCCUGUACUAUGAAAGAUUUGUUCUUUUUUAAAAAUAACAACAACAACACGGAAUUAAUAAGUAGAGCAGGCAACAUUUCUAUUCUGGUAUCAUCAUCUAGACUAGAGCUUUAGAUAAGAGUAGCCACAUACAGCACAGAACAAGAAGGUUACAAUGUAAGUUAUGAUGGUAUCCCUCCCAACCACAAUUAGUAGGAGGCUUAAUUUCAAGAAACUACAAGAAAGACUCCAGAUGUUUCAGAGAAGUGUUAAGCAAUAACAUAAUUACUGCUAAUUAAUGGGGAUUCUAAACAGGAUCAAGAGGUACUGAAGGUACUCAUUGCUUCAAAAUCCCUCCAAAUUGACACUAAGCAGGGCUGCACAAACUGUGAUCACCUUCUUCAUCUCUUUUUGCAAAUGUUUUUCUAAGAGUUUCUUUCCUAUUGAUUCUUCAAGGCAACAUCCUGUGUCAUAUUUAAGAAACUAAGGAAUCUUUACUAUUUUUACCAUUCCAGACAGAGUACUUCUUUUGACAGGAGAGUUGAAAGAAUUAAAUUCUAGAACUGGAAACUUUCCCCUCAAAAAUCAAGAAGUAAUGAAUGUAGUCAUUUCUUGUCAAACAUACAAAUAUAUAAACAGGGAAGUGAAAAAUAGAAAGUAAAUCAGAAGUUCAUGUUUAAAAACAAGGAUUACUUUAAUUCUUCGUUGCUUUAUCUCUACAUUACUAAUCCAAGAGGUUUCUGGGAAUUUCAUACCUACAGGUUUUAUCCAAUGUUUCAAUGGACAUACUUUAUUUUUAAAUUGUUCAGUGAUUUUGUUUUUGCAUCAUCUCUGGGUAUUCUUAAUUGUUUUAGAUUCCAUAAUGGAACGUGAAAUAUAAAUAAAUCAAAUACAUUGAAUAAAUAAGCCAUCUUGUUUUUAAUCAUAACUAUCGCUUUUCUUAUUACAUUUCCAGCAAGCAAAAGCAGAAGAGAAUAAUAGAAAUUUGGCAAAUCUGCAAAAUAAUUGAUCCACUGCUAUGGGGAAAUGCAUAACACCUUAGAAACCAUAUAGUAUGCAAAUUAUCUACAAACCUGAGUCAUAGAAUGCAUGUAAUUGCUAAAUGGUGGAAUGAAACUCACAACUGGAAUGUACUGCUGGAGGGAUAUAAAUUGAAACAGACCUAACAACAGAGAAAGUGGAGGUGCAUUAUAUGUAAAAAAAAAAAUCAGUACACCUCUACACAAAUGCAUAAAACCAAGGAUGAAAGCCUGCUUGAAUGCAUAGGGAUUAAUAUAAGAGGAAAAAAGAAUGACAUUGCCAAUUUUGCAGAUGACACCAAGCUGGCAGGAAUAGUCAAUACUCCAGAAGAUAGGCUCAAGAUCCAGAAAAAUCUUGACAGACUUUCCAAUAUUUGAG